rnacentral:rRNA from 1 species
UACAUGGGGUGCAAACGUUGCUCGGAAUUAUUGGGCGUAAAGCGCACGUAGGCGGUUUGUUAAGUCGGAUGUGAAAGCCCCGGGCUCAACCUGGGAAUUGCAUUCGAGACUGAAUAGCUAGGGUACGGUAGAGGGAAGUGGAAUUUCCGGUGUAGCGGUGAAAUGCGUAGAUAUCUGGAGGAACACCGGUGGCGAAGGCGGCAUCCUGGACCGGCAUUGACGCUGAGGAGCGAAAGCCAGGGGAGCAAACGGG